AUACCGGCGGCCCGAGUGGCGGCCACUAUUAUUGGGCCUAAAGCGUCCGUAGCCGGGCUGGUAAGUCCCCCGGGAAAUCUGGCGGCUUAACCGGCAGACUGCCGGGGGAUACUGCCAGCCUAGGGACCGGGAGAGGCCGGGGGUAUUCCCGGGGUAGGGGUGAAAUCCUGUAAUCCCGGGAGGACCACCUGUGGCGAAGGCGCCCGGCUGGAACGGGUCCGACGGUGAGGGACGAAGGCCAGGGGAGCGAACCGGAUUAGAAACCCCAGUAGUCC
rnacentral:rRNA from 1 species